rnacentral:snoRNA from 1 species
CUCCUCUCAGGAUCACAACUGGAGAGUUUCCAAUACUCUACCAGUCUCGGGUAUGAGAGGGAGAGUCAAGCAGUGGCCUAGCCAUUCCAUUCCUAGCUUGGGCUGUGGCUAGCGAGUGGAAGGCCAUCUGCUACGAAU